rnacentral:rRNA from 1 species
UUAAGCGACUAAGCGUACACGGUGGAUGCCCUGGCAGUCAGAGGCGAUGAAGGACGUGCUAAUCUGCGAAAAGCGUCGGUAAGGUGAUAUGAACCGUUACAGCCGGCGAUGUCCGAAUGGGGAAACCCAGUGCAAUUCGUUGCACUAUCGUUAACUGAAUACAUAGGUUAACGAGGCGAACCGGGGGAACUGAAACAUCUAAGUACCCCGAGGAAAAGAAAUCAACCGAGAUUCCCCCAGUAGCGGCGAGCGAACGGGGAGCAGCCCAGAGUCUGAAUCAGCUUGUGUGUUAGUGGAACGGUCUGGAAAGUCCGACGGUACAGGGUGAUAGUCCCGUACACCAAAAUGCACAGGUUGUGAACUCGAAGAGUAGGGCGGGACACGUGGUAUCCUGUCUGAAUAUGGGGGGACCAUCCUCCAAGGCUAAAUACUCCUGACUGACCGAUAGUGAACCAGUACCGUGAGGGAAAGGCGAAAAGAACCCCGGCGAGGGGAGUGAAAAAGAACCUGAAACCGUGUACGUACAAGCAGUGGGAGCACCUUCGGGUGUGACUGCGUACCUUUUGUAUAAUGGGUCAGCGACUUAUAUUCUGUAGCAAGGUUAACCGUAUAGGGGAGCCGCAGGGAAACCGAGUCUUAACUGGGCGUUAAGUUGCAGGGUAUAGACCCGAAACCCGGUGAUCUAGCCAUGGGCAGGUUGAAGGUUGGGUAACACUAACUGGAGGACCGAACCGACUAAUGUUGAAAAAUUAGCGGAUGACUUGUGGCUGGGGGUGAAAGGCCAAUCAAACCGGGAGAUAGCUGGUUCUCCCCGAAAGCUAUUUAGGUAGCGCCUCGUGAACUCAUCUUCGGGGGUAGAGCACUGUUUCGGCUAGGGGGUCAUCCCGACUUACCAACCCGAUGCAAACUACGAAUACCGAAGAAUGUUAUCACGGGAGACACACGGCGGGUGCUAACGUCCGUCGUGAAGAGGGAAACAACCCAGACCGCCAGCUAAGGUCCCAAAGUCAUGGUUAAGUGGGAAACGAUGUGGGAAGGCACAGACAGCCAGGAUGUUGGCUUAGAAGCAGCCAUCAUUUAAAGAAAGCGUAAUAGCUCACUGGUCGAGUCGGCCUGCGCGGAAGAUGUAACGGGGCUAAACCAUGCACCGAAGCUGCGGCAGCGACACUAUGUGUUGUUGGGUAGGGGAGCGUUCUGUAAGCCUGCGAAGGUGUGCUGUGAGGCAUGCUGGAGGUAUCAGAAGUGCGAAUGCUGACAUAAGUAACGAUAAAGCGGGUGAAAAGCCCGCUCGCCGGAAGACCAAGGGUUCCUGUCCAACGUUAAUCGGGGCAGGGUGAGUCGACCCCAAGGCGAGGCCGAAAGGCGUAGUCGAUGGGAAACAGGUUAAUAUUCCUGUACUUGGUGUUACUGCGAAGGGGACGGAGAAGGCUAUGUUAGCCGGGCGACGGUUGUCCCGGUUUAAGCAUGUAGGCUGAUUGUCCGUGCAAAUCCGGAUAAUCAAGGCUGAGGUGUGAUGACGAGGCACUACGGUGCUGAAGUAACAAAUGCCCUGCUUCCGUGAAAGCCUCUAAGCAUCAGGUAACAUUAAAUCGUACCCCAAACCGACACAGGUGGUCAGGUAGAGAAUACCAAGGCGCUUGAGAGAACUCGGGUGAAGGAACUAGGCAAAAUGGUGCCGUAACUUCGGGAGAAGGCACGCUGGUGUAGGUGAAGUCCCUGCGGAUGGAGCUGAGACCAGUCGAAGAUACCAGCUGGCUGCAACUGUUUAUUAAAAAACACAGCACUGUGCAAACACGAAAGUGGACGUAUACGGUGUGACGCCUGCCCGGUGCCGGAAGGUUAAUUGAUGGGGUUAUCCGUAAGGAGAAGCUCUUGAUCGAAGCCCCGGUAAACGGCGGCCGUAACUAUAACGGUCCUAAGGUAGCGAAAUUCCUUGUCGGGUAAGUUCCGACCUGCACGAAUGGCGUAAUGAUGGCCAGGCUGUCUCCACCCGAGACUCAGUGAAAUUGAACUCGCUGUGAAGAUGCAGUGUACCCGCGGCAAGACGGAAAGACCCCGUGAACCUUUACUAUAGCUUGACACUGAACAUUGAGCCUUGAUGUGUAGGAUAGGUGGGAGGCUUUGAAGCGUGGACGCCAGUCUGCGUGGAGCCAACCUUGAAAUACCACCCUUUAAUGUUUGAUGUUCUAACGUUGGCCCCUGACCGGGGUUGCGGACAGUGUCUGGUGGGUAGUUUGACUGGGGCGGUCUCCUCCCAAAGCGUAACGGAGGAGCACGAAGGUUAGCUAAUCCUGGUCGGACAUCAGGAGGUUAGUGCAAUGGCAUAAGCUAGCUUGACUGCGAGCGUGACGGCGCGAGCAGGUGCGAAAGCAGGUCAUAGUGAUCCGGUGGUUCUGAAUGGAAGGGCCAUCGCUCAACGGAUAAAAGGUACUCCGGGGAUAACAGGCUGAUACCGCCCAAGAGUUCAUAUCGACGGCGGUGUUUGGCACCUCGAUGUCGGCUCAUCACAUCCUGGGGCUGAAGUAGGUCCCAAGGGUAUGGCUGUUCGCCAUUUAAAGUGGUACGCGAGCUGGGUUUAGAACGUCGUGAGACAGUUCGGUCCCUAUUCGCCGUGGGCGCUGGAGAAUUGAGGGGCUGCUCCUAGUACGAGAGGACCGGAGUGGACGCAUCACUGGUGUUCGGGUUGUCAUGCCAAUGGCACUGCCCGGUAGCUAAAUGCGGAAGAGAUAAGUGCUGAAAGCAUCUAAGCACGAAACUUGCCCCGAGAUGAGUUCUCCCUGAGACUAUAAGUCUCCUGAAGGAACGUUAAAGACGAUGACGUUGAUAGGCCGGGUGUGUAAGCGCAGCGAUGCGUUGAGCUAACCGGUACUAAUGAACCGUGAGGCUUAACCU